UACGUAGGUGGCAAGCGUUGUCCGGAAUUAUUGGGCGUAAAGCGCGUGUAGGCGGCCGUGCAAGUCGGGUGUGAAAGCCCUCGGCUCAACCGAGGAAGUGCGCCCGAAACUGCAUGGCUUGAGUACCGGAGAGGAUGGCGGAAUUCCCCAAGUAGAGGUGAAAUUCGUAGAUAUGGGGAGGAACACCGGUGGCGAAGGCGGCCAUCUGGACGGAUACUGACGCUGAGACGCGAAAGCGUGGGGAGCAAACAGG
rnacentral:rRNA from 1 species